rnacentral:rRNA from 1 species
AACGCGAAGAACCUUACCCAGACUUGACAUGCAGUGGACAGUCUCAGAAAUGAGAUCUUCCUUCGGGACCAUUGCACAGGUGCUGCAUGGCUGUCGUCAGCUCGUGCCGUGAGGUGUUGGGUUAAGUCCCGCAACGAGCGCAACCCUUAUCAUUAGUUGCCAACACGUGAAGGUGGGAACUCUAAUGAGACUGCCCGGGUUAACCGGGAGGAAGGUGAGGAUGACGUCAAGUCCGCAUGGCCCUUAUGUCUGGGGCUACACACGUGCUACAAUGGUCGGUACAGAAGGCAGCGAAACCGCGAGGUGAAGCAAAUCCCGAAAGCCGGCCUCAGUUCAGAUUGUAGUCUGCAACUCGACUACAUGAAGACGGAAUUGCUAGUAAUGGCGUGUCAGCUACAACGCCGUGAAUACGUUCCCGGGCCUUGUACACACCGAUACUC